rnacentral:misc_RNA from 1 species
GAUGAAGAACGUAGCGAAAUGCGAUAAGUAAUGUGAAUUGCAGAAUUCAGUGAAUCAUCGAAUCUUUGAACGCACAUUGCGCCCGCCAGUAUUCUGGCGGGCAUGCCUGUUCGAGCGUCAUUUCAACCAUCAAGCCCCGGGCUUGUGUUGGGGACCUGCGGCUGCCGCAGGCCCUGAAAUGCAGUGGCGGGCUCGCUGUCACUCCGAGCGUAGCAGUUACAUCUCGCUCUGGGCGUGCUGCGGGUUCCGGCCGUUAAAAGCCUUAUUUACCCAAGGUUGACCUCGGAUCAGGUAGGAAGACCCGCUGAACUUAAGCAUAUCAAUAAGCGGAGGA